AAAAUUCAAGUUUGGGCAGCCUAAAAAUACCUCAAAAGUUCUUCAAGUCUUGGAGAUCUGAAAUUUGAAUCCAGACUUCAGAUUUCAUUACUCUUCAUAUUCAAAAUACAAAAAAAAAAUCAAAAACAACAGAAAACCAAAACAAAGUCACUGUUCUAUUGGUUAUUUUAGUUUAAAUUCAAGUUGGGUAGUGUAAUUCGAUCUUUGGAUUCAACAAAGGGUUGCUGAGAAUUAGAAGCUGUUUGCAUUUGCAUUCGAGUUCAUUUUGUUGUUGUUUUGGGUGCUGAGGUUCAAGUUUCUUUUGGUCUGUUAUUUCAAGUUCAUUUGGGGUGUAGUUGAGUGUUGAAAUUGCUACUAAAGUUCUGAGUUCGUUCCUGGACCUUUCAGCAAAUAGUCCCAUAGAAAAACUCUUUUUCCUUCAGUUUUCAAUUCCAUAUUAGCUUUGGCAUUCAAUCACCCAAAAAUAAAAAAAUAAAAACAUUCAGAAAUGGAAAAACC
rnacentral:lncRNA from 1 species